rnacentral:rRNA from 1 species
UACGUAGGGGGCAAGCGUUGUCCGGAAUUACUGGGCGUAAAGCGCACGUAGGCGGAUUGUUAAGUCGGGGGUGAAAUCCUGGAGCUCAACUCCAGAACUGCCUUCGAUACUGGCGAUCUAGAGUCCGGGAGAGGUGAGUGGAACUGCGAGUGUAGAGGUGAAAUUCGUAGAUAUUCGCAAGAACACCAGUGGCGAAGGCGGCUCACUGGCCCGGUACUGACGCUGAGGUGCGAAAGCGUGGGGAGCAAACAGG